CUGAGGCUCCACUGACGACUCCAUUCUCUUCGUCUUCAAGAGUUCUUUGCAUAGACUUUAAUUGCUCCUGUUGCCUAGCAAACAGUAAUUGUAUCACUCACAUGUUGAAUGAAAUGCCCGAAGUUGUGUUUUCCUACAUAACAUCGUCGAACAUUAGUGGUCUAAAAUUCUAAUAUCACAAUGAAGUAAGAUGCAGGUGAAGAAGUUGCAACAUGAAGCGGAGGUGUAAAUCAGCAUGUAAAGUGACUAUUAUACAGAAGCAAUUAUGAAUACUAUAUUUAGAAAUUUUUAUUGAAAUAACAGAGUAAGAGUAGAGUGUAUAUAUAAAAGAAAUGUUUAGUAGUGCAUAUUCUAAUCAAGACAACACAAUUAAUCAUCCAGAAACCUGCAUUGUUGUUUAGGCUAAGAUCAUAGCUCUCAAAUUAGU
rnacentral:lncRNA from 1 species